UACAGAGGUCUCAAGCGUUGUUCGGAUUCAUUGGGCGUAAAGGGUGCGUAGGUGGCGCCGUAAGUCGGAUGUGAAAUUUCGGAGCUUAACUCCGAAACUGCAUUCGAUACUGCGGUGCUUGAGGACUGGAGAGGAGACUGGAAUUCAUGGUGUAGCAGUGAAAUGCGUAGAGAUCAUGAGGAAGACCAGUGGCGAAGGCGGGUCUCUGGACAGUUCCUGACACUGAGGCACGAAGGCCAGGGGAGCAAACGGG
rnacentral:rRNA from 1 species